rnacentral:rRNA from 1 species
GACGAACGCUGGCGGCGUGCUUAACACAUGCAAGUCGUACGGUAAGGCCCUUUCGGGGGUACACGAGUGGCGCACGGGUGAGUAACACGUGAGUAACCUGCCCACAACUUUGGGAUAACGCUAGGAAACUGGUGCUAAUACUGGAUAUGUGCUCCUGCUGCAUGGUGGGGGUUGGAAAGCUCCGGCGGUUGUGGAUGGACUCGCGGCCUAUCAGCUUGUUGGUGGGGUAGUGGCCUACCAAGGCGGCGACGGGUAGCCGGCCUGAGAGGGUGACCGGCCACAGUGGGACUGAGAUACGGCCCAGACUCCUACGGGAGGCAGCAGUGGGGAAUAUUGCACAAUGGGCGCAAGCCUGAUGCAGCAACGCCGCGUGCGGGAUGACGGCCUUCGGGUUGUAAACCGCUUUCAGCAGGGACGAAGCUUUUUGUGACGGUACCUGCAGAAGAAGCACCGGCUAACUACGUG